UCUGUUGGGUUGUGUAGACAUUAACCUUAAAUAAGUCAUCUGGGCUUUUCUUUUUCAACACUUGCUUUUAAAAAUACUGCUGGAUAUUAAGGAACUCUUGAAGAUCUCUUUGAAGGCUUACCCAGGACAUCCAACUGCACGGUAAAGGUGGCUUCUCCUGCUCUAUUCUUGGCAACACACACAUAAGCACCUGCAUCUGAAGUUCUGACCACUUCAAAGAUGAGUGAAUGAAAACCCUUUUCAGACACUAUCAUUUUGUGAAAAUCAUCUGAUUGAACUGGUCUUCCAUUCAGAUACCAUGACACAUCAGGAGCUGGCAGUCCGCUUACCUGGAAAGGAAAACACAAGAAGGAGAUGACAGAAUUUUAAAUUAUAUCAUCACUGGAACCUAUUUGUCCAUUUAUAAAUUUAAACAAUUCCAGUAUCUGAGUGGGUUUGUGGUUCAGAAUGCGAAGGAAGAUCUUAAAAAGUGAAUUUGAACUGUGGUUGUUGCCUGGACUCGGCAUUCAAAUGCAACAAACUGACCGCUGGUUGUCGAAAUGUCUUGAAGAUGCUGAACAAAAACAGAAUUCACAGAAUGGAAGAAACUUUCAUCAUAUGCAAUGAUUUGGGAUGCCAAUGGUAAUCCUUACUGGCAAUAUGAUACAGAGCAUGAGAAAGGCUUAUUUAUAACAAAAUAACUAGUGAUUUUGAUGAAAUUAAGCCCCCCAGUCAGUACCCUGCUUUAGUGGCCGUUCAUGGGCAGGUGUGGAGUGGUGAAAAAUUGGUAUCACCUAACGAGCACAUUUCCAGCUGAGGCUGAACAA